rnacentral:rRNA from 1 species
AUGUUAGCAAAGCAGUGUUGGCGACUGAUCCGAAAUCCGGACUCUUUGUGUGCGCGUGUUCUGAGUGCAAAGUAUUACCCAGAUGGUAACAUUCUUAAUGCCGGCCCUAAGAAGGGUUCUUCAUACACUUGGCAGAGCAUUGUGGCGGGAAUCCAAACUUUUAAAAGGGGUUUCAUUUGGAGAGUAGGUACAGGCUCAAAGAUCAAUAUCUGGUAUGACCCUUGGAUCCCUUCAAGUGCAUCACGGAAAGUUAUAACGCCAAGAGGGCAGAUUAUGUUAUCCAAAGUAGAAGAGCUAAUCGACCCGCAUUCGGGUCAGUGGGAUGAAGAUCUGCUACUAUCUGUCUUUAGUCCGAUAGAUGCUGAACGGAUACUAAGAAUUCCUCUUAAUGUAGGGAACGUUGAGGAUUUCGUGGCAUGGCAUUACACAAGGUCUGGGACGUUUUCAGUCUGUUCAUCGUAUCAUGCAGAAUUUAAUCAUCAAUAUAAUUCGCGUUCGACUCUUGCUGAUGGUCAAGGCGGGGCUCAAAUAAAUGGUAUCUGGAAGGACACUUGGAGGCUUAGAGUUCCUGGAAAAAUCAAACACUUCACGUGGAAAGUUUUGAGGGGUAUCUUGCCCUGCUACGGAGUUCUUGCGAGGCGCCAUAUUCCUGUCACCGGCUAGUGCCCGUUCUGCAAGGUGGGCUUCGAAGAUAUUCAGCAUUGCCUGUUUACUUGCUGUCGUGCAGUGGAGGUUUGGACGGAAUUAGGACUGAAUCAAGUGAUCUACCAGGCAGUGAUGGAGGACCGAUCAGGAUCAGUGACCAUGGAAAUCCUAUAA